CGGAAAGAUGACCAAACUUGAUCAUUUAGAGGAAGUAAAAGUCGUAACAAGGUUUUCGUAGGUGAACCUGCGAAAGGAUCAUUA
rnacentral:rRNA from 1 species